AUUAGAGUUUGAUCCUGGCUCAGAACGAACGUUGGCGGCGUGGAUUAGGCAUGCAAGUCGCGGGAAUCCCCCGCAAGGGGGGGAACCGGCGUAAGGGGCAGUAAGGCGUGGGUACCUGCCGCGGGGUCCGGGAUAGCCCUUCGAGAGAAGGGGUAAUACCGGAUGACGUCGGGAGACCAAAGGUCCGCCGCCCUGUGAGGGGCCCACGCGGUAUCAGCUCGUCGGUGGGGUGACGGCCCACCGAGGCGUAGACGCCUAGCGGGUGUGAGAGCACGACCCGCGCCACUGGCACUGAGACACUGGCCAGACACCUACGGGUGGCUGCAGUCGAGGAUCUUCGGCAAUGGGGGCAACCCUGACCGAGCGACGCCGCGUGUGCGACGAAGGCCUUCGGGUUGUAAAGCACUGUCGAGGGGGGGAAAGCCGGCGUCACAGCCGGUCGAUCGAUCCCUGGAGGAAGCACGGGCUAAGUUCGUGCCAGCAGCCGCGGUAAGACGAACCGUGCGAACGUUGUUCGGAAUCACUGGGCUUAAAGGGCGCGUAGGCGGGCCGCCGCGUCCGGGGUGAAAUGCCACGGCUCAACCGUGGAACGGCCCCGGGUACGGGCGGCCUCGAGGGGGGUAGGGGCCCGCGGAACUGUGCGUGGAGCGGUGAAAUGCGUUGAUAUGCACAGGAACUCCGGUGGCGAAGGCGGCGGGCUGGACCCCAUCUGACGCUGAGGCGCGAAAGCCAGGGGAGCGAACGGGAUUAGAUACCCCGGUAGUCCUGGCCCUAAACGAUGAGCACCGGGUAGUGGCCUUGCAUGGGGUCACUGCCGCAGCCAAAGUGCUAAGUGCUCCGCCUGGGGAGUAUGGCCGCAAGGCUGAAACUCAAAGGAAUUGACGGGGGCUCACACAAGCGGUGGAGCAUGUGGCUUAAUUCGAGGCUACGCGAAGAACCUUAUCCUAGGCUUGACAUGUGCGAAAGCGGCCGGAAGUAGGACCCGGAAACGGGGGCGAACGGUAUCCAGCCCGGAACCGGCCACAGGUGCUGCAUGGCUGUCGUCAGCUCGUGUCGUGAGAUGUCGGGUUAAGUCCCAUAACGAGCGAAACCCUUACCCCCAGUUGCCAGCGGGUCGUGCCGGGGACUCUGGGGGGACUGCCGGUGUCAAACCGGAGGAAGGUGGGGAUGACGUCAAGUAAU
rnacentral:rRNA from 1 species